UCAGUUAAUAGCCAUUGUUUAGCUUACAAUGAAUUUACUAAAGGUCUAGGAUAAAGUUUUAAGUUUUGCAGUUAGUCAUGUUUAUGUAUCAGAAUAUUUAUUCUUUGUUAAACUGAAGAAAUUUUAACAUACAGCAAUAGUCUCUUCCCUCCACUCCCCCCUUCAUAAAGCAGAAACAGAGGUUCAAGAUUUCUCUCCAGACAUCCUCAGCACAGCUGAGAAACCCCUCGGAAAGCACACCACUUCGGAAGGGUCCUGAGGAAGGAUAUGACAAGGUUCUGCAAGAUGUGACAUCUGGUAGAUGGCCUGCUUCCAGUGACCCAGGGACCCUGGUCAGAACUCCUUGGUGGCAGCAGCCUACAGGAGGCCUUCUGGGACUAUCCCAUGGCGAUCUGACCUGGUUCUGGCUUUGUCCAAGUAAUUUUAUUCGCACUAACACUUUUGACCCCUGGUGUCAUUGAUAAGCUCCAGAGCACCGAGUGCUGGGUCAAAAAAGUUUUGAAAGAUCUACAGAAAACUAAAUGCUUAAAGCCAUGUGAUUGGUAUUUAUUUGUUUUAAUUAUAAAUAUAGAAAAUAAUACUCUGUCACUUUCUUUUCUCUUUUCUGCAUACUCACGCAGAUAGAAAAGUUGUUUUAUCGAUAGAUUCAUUACUGUAUUAAACAUUGUCCAGUGAUGUAAAGGA